rnacentral:rRNA from 1 species
GCGGGAGGCCUAACACAUGCAAGCCGAGCGGUAGAGUCUCUUCGGAGACUUGAGAGCGGCGCACGGGUGCGGAACACGUGUGCAACCUGCCUUUAUCUGGGGGAUAGCCUUUCGAAAGGAAGAUUAAUACCCCAUAAUAUACAUUACGGCAUCGUAAUUUAUUGAAAGCUCCGGCGGAUAAAGAUGGGCACGCGCAAGAUUAGAUAGUUGGUAGGGUAACGGCCUACCAAGUCAAUGAUCUUUAGGGGGCCUGAGAGGGUGAUCCCCCACACUGGUACUGAGACACGGACCAGACUCCUACGGGAGGCAGCAGUGAGGAAUAUUGGACAAUGGGUGCAAGCCUGAUCCAGCCAUCCCGCGUGAAGGACUAAGGCCCUAUGGGUUGUAAACUUCUUUUAUACUGGGAUAAACCUACUUACGUGUAAGUAGCUGAAGGUACAGUAUGAAUAAGCACCGGCUAACUCCGUGCCAGCAGCCGCGGUAAUACGGAGGGUGCAAGCGUUAUCCGGAUUUAUUGGGUUUAAAGGGUCCGUAGGCGGAUCUGUAAGUCAGUGGUGAAAUCUCAUAGCUUAACUAUGAAACUGCCAUUGAUACUGCAGGUCUUGAGUGAGAUUGAGGUAGCUGGAAUAAGUAGUGUAGCGGUGAAAUGCAUAGAUAUUACUUAGAACACCAAUUGCGAAGGCAGGUUACCAAGUCUUAACUGACGCUGAUGGACGAAAGCGUGGGGAACGAACAGGAUUAGAUACCCUGGUAGUCCACGCCGUAAACGAUGCUAACUCGUUUUUGGGGUCUUGCGCUUCAGAGACUAAGCGAAAGUGAUAAGUUAGCCACCUGGGGAGUACGUUCGCAAGAAUGAAACUCAAAGGAAUUGACGGGGGCCCGCACAAGCGGUGGAUUAUGUGGUUUAAUUCGAUGAUACGCGAGGAACCUUACCAAGACUCAAAUGGGAAAUGACAGAUUUAGAAAUAGAUCCUUCUUCGGACAUUUUUCAAGGUGCUGCAUGGUUGUCGUCAGCUCGUGCCGUGAGGUGUUAGGUUAAGUCCUGCAACGAGCGCAACCCCUGUCACUAGUUGCUACCAUUAAGUUGAGGACUCUAGUGAGACUGCCUACGCAAGUAGAGAGGAAGGUGGGGAUGACGUCAAAUCAUCACGGCCCUUACGUCUUGGGCCACACACGUAAUACAAUGGCCGGUACAGAGGGCAGCUACACUGCGAAGUGAUGCGAAUCUCGAAAGCCGGUCUCAGUUCGGAUUGGAGUCUGCAACUCGACUCUAUGAAGCUGGAAUCGCUAGUAAUCGCGCAUCAGCCAUGGCGCGGUGAAUACGUUCCCGGGCCUUGUACACACCGCCCGUCAAGCCAUGGAAGUCUGGGGUACCUGAAGUCGGUGACCGUAAAAGGAGCUGCCUAGGGUAAAACAGGUAACUAA